GUAGAAAGUUGUUCAGGAAGCCCCCCCAGCAGGUGCAGACACUAAUUGAGCGGGUAGGAGUGAGGAGGGGCGGGGUUUAGAAGGAGCAACGGCCCGGAUGCAAUGGGAACUCAGGCAAAGGUUAAGAGGAAAAGAGCACAGCCUUGGGUGUCCAGAGAGUCAGGUUUAAAGAGUCCAGAGGUUGAGAUUGUGGCCUUGCCAGGGCACCAGUGUGGGAGAUGGAGGUGCGAAGAGAGGAUUGAAGAACUGCAAGUAACCGAGGAAUCCAGACUUAGAGGAACUUUUAGGGCAUUCAGACAAGGCGUUCAAGGGAAACGCUCUCUGAUUGCGUUUCAGGGUUGUUUGGCUCCUGCGUCAGUAGUUUUGGGUUUCAAGUUUAAAAAAAUCUGACAAAAGUGUAGAUUAAACAAGAUGGAUAUGUACUUUUCUCUCAAAAAACCUAAAGUUGGAAACUUGGUAGUCAGAGCCGGUCUGCAGCACCACAACGCGAAGGAUGGGGCUUAUUCCUUGGCCUGCAGUUUUCCUCUUCAGGACUGCUUCACCGUCAGGGUUUCUGCAACUCCAGCCUUCACAUCCACCACACAGUGAUUGACCCUGAGAAGUACUCACUCCAUGUGCAGCAAACUGGAUGGGCAGCGGAGGGCAGGGAUGAUGCUUAAAGAUGAUUCUUGCCACCUCUGUAGAUACCAGUAGAGGAGUGUGUCAACUCUAUGGAUUCUCAAGAGGAAUUGAUGUCCAGGAUUCUGGAGCACAAUCUUCUUUGACCACCAUUCUUGUCCCCCCAGGCAGUGUCCCCUGCAGUUUCCAUUAAAGGUGCAAAGAGAAAAUAGUGCACCUGAGAACCAAUCACUUCUCUCUUGCCUUGAGUUGUGAUGUACUUAACGCAGCUAAGAAUGAAUGAUUGCAGCAGAGCCUGGGAGGAACCUUUGAGAAAAAUUUAGCCAAUUUAUUUCACAGGGGGAAGAAAUCGAGACCCAGAGAGGUGAAGAAACUUGCCCAAGUAGCUGAAGUAGAACUGAAACUAGAUCACAUAUUUCUUCAUUCCUGACUGCCAGCUGCAGAAGAAUCUAUGGAUCUUCAUUUUGCUUCUUAGCAAGAAGGAUAAACUUUGCUCCAGAGAGAGUCAUGCAACCCCCUAUUGCUGGGAUAUGGCCCAGGGAGAGAGGGAUGGAAUGAAUACGGGGUUCUAGAAUAGCAGUACUGUGCCAGAAUCGGUAUUUUCUAGAUAAGCCUGACUUGUGAAAAUAAGAUACACUCACUGGCAAGAGAAGUGUAAUUGCUUGACUAUAGAUUACCUAAUGUAGUUUGGAUCUUAUCAUUGCAAAGUCUGAGCGAAUCUGAGUUCUCCUGCACUGCUUCCUCACAUCUUUAAUUGUUCUGGCCUAGAGCAAUCACUGCUUUCCUUCAAGGAGCUCUUGCCACUGUGCUGACAUUGAGUGUCUCUGUGUGAAGAUUUGUGCCUUUCUGGUGUUGUUUUCAUCUUAAUUAAAAAGGAGGCAAAAAUAGAUCCUGCCAAAGGUCACACCACCUCAAUGUUAGGACCAGUCUCUCUUCAUUUACAAAGGAAUGCUCAGCCUAGGAGGGAUGGACCAGGUAGCCCUGGUUCUCUUCCAGCUGCUGGUCCUCUCUGGUGCCUCUCAGCCUGCCAGAGCCAGUGCCGCAACUCUCUUAGUGCCCAUCAUUAUCCUGGUUGGCAAGGAGGCCCUGCUGGGUUUGGAGAGGGUCAGGGCACAGGGCCAGCCAAGAUGAGAGGCCACAGAGAAGAAAUGAGGAAAAGAAUCCUGGGGAAAUGCAUCAAAACAAUGCUGAGAACACAACUCUGGCUAUAGACUAAGGAUUGGCAAGAAAGUGAAGUAGCCCCGUUCAAGGUCAGAGCAGUGAGGACAUGCUCAAGUUGGAAACUGAAAUCAGUUCUCCUUUCCUUUCAGCCUGGCAGCUGAAUCUGGUGGGUGCCUAGGAAGCUAGAACACUAAGAGACAGCCCUGGCAGCUGCAUGAGCAAAAGGUGAAAGGGCCCACAGAUACAGGGCCAGGGCCAGAUAGGAGCCAUUCUUUGACUCUUGUCACGGGUCCCUUGCUAAUAAAGGCAGAGCCACUCCAUGGCCCAUGAAGGGCAUUGUGGGAGUAUCUAUUCUUGUGGGCUCUCAUUUUCAUCACAAUUGGUUUUCCAUGUGUUUGUUUUUAAAAUAAAGGAAUCCUAUGUCCUUGUAGCUAAGACCAUGUUUUGAUGAGAGUGGGGGUGGGAAGAGGCUCUUCUACCAUAAGUUUUAAAAUUCAGGGCAGGAAAGCUGCUGCCCUUCUUACCAGAAUCAGUUCUUGCCAAGACAGGUUCAAAUGUUUUGGAUCAAUGGAGCAAGAGGAAGGAGGUGGGGGAAUAUAGAAAAAUAAAGCUCCUUUUCUCUCUUCUGCUUCACUGCUUGAUGGGUACAUAAAGGUGAAUGUUUAAGAGUUGAGAAGGAGGCAAGGGAAAAUAGUGUCCAGAGGAAGAAAAAGUAUGACAGAAAGAGAAUUUUUAAAGAAAGAAUAAAAUCCAUAGUUUGAAAUUUUUAGCAGGAAAGAUACAUUUUUCACAUAGAUACAGUUUACAUAGAUCUGUAAAUGAGCAAAUAAACUGAGAAGGGAAAGGGGAAAACAAUGCAAUGGCCAGAACAAGGUCUGCUGGAGGCAGGUCUGCUAGCUGCUGUGAUAGACAAGAAAGAGAAAAUAUGUGUUUGGAGUGAAUUUUCACAUUUCAAUUCAACAUUUACUGAGCACCUAAAUUAGGUGCCAGGCAUUGUGCUGGAUACUGGGCAUUCAGAAGCCUCCAUGAU
ensembl:lncRNA